CAGCAGCCGCGGUAAUACGAAGGGGGCUAGCGUUGCUCGGAAUGACUGGGCGUAAAGGGCGCGUAGGCGGAUUGUUUAGUUAGGCGUGAAAUUCCUGGGCUUAACCUGGGGACUGCGCUUAAUACAGGCAGUCUAGAGUGAGGAAGAGGGUUGUGGAAUUCCCAGUGUAGAGGUGAAAUUCGUAGAUAUUGGGAAGAACACCGGUGGCGAAGGCGGCGACCUGGUCCUUGACUGACGCUGAGGCGCGAAAGCGUGGGGAGCAAACAGGAUUAGAUACCCGAGUAGUCCCUGUCUCUUAUAC
rnacentral:rRNA from 1 species